GACGAACGCUGGCGGCGUGCCUAAUACAUGCAAGUCGAACGCUUCUUUUCCCACCGGAGCUUGCUCCACCGGGAAAAGAGGAGUGGCGAACGGGUGAGUAACACGUGGGUAACCUGCCCAUCAGAAGGGGAUAACACUUGGAAACAGGUGCUAAUACCGUAUAACAAUCGAAACCGCAUGGUUUCGUUUUGAAAGGCGCUUUACGGUGCCGCUGAUGGAUGGACCCGCGGUGCAUUAGCUAGUUGGUGAGGUAACGGCUCACCAAGGCCACGAUGCAUAGCCGACCUGAGAGGGUGAUCGGCCACAUUGGGACUGAGACACGGCCCAAACUCCUACGGGAGGCAGCAGUAGGGAAUCUUCGGCAAUGGACGAGAGUCUGACCGAGCAACGCCGCGUGAGUGAAGAAGGUUUUCGGAUCGUAAAACUCUGUUGUUAGAGAAGAACAAGGGUGAGAGUAACUGUUCACCCCUUGACGGUAUCUAACCAGAAAGCCACGGCUAACUACGUGCCAGCCGCAGCAGUAA
rnacentral:rRNA from 1 species